UUGAAUUCAGAACCUGUUGGUGGGAAGGAG
rnacentral:piRNA from 1 species